AGAGUUUGAUCCUGGCUCAGGAUGAACGCUAGCGGGAGGCCUAACACAUGCAAGCCGAGCGGUAUUGUUUCUUCGGAAAUGAGAGAGCGGCGUACGGGUGCGGAACACGUGUGCAACCUGCCUUUAUCUGGGGGAUAGCCUUUCGAAAGGAAGAUUAAUACUCCAUAAUAUAUUGAACGGCAUCGUUUAAUAUUGAAAGCUCCGGCGGAUAGAGAUGGGCACGCGCAAGAUUAGCUAGUUGGUGAGGUAACGGCUCACCAAGGCGAUGAUCUUUAGGGGCCUGAGAGGGUGAUCCCCCACACUGGUACUGAGACACGGACCAGACUCCUACGGGAGGCAGCAGUGAGGAAUAUUGGUCAAUGGGUGCAAGCCUGAACCAGCCAUCCCGCGUGAAGGACGGACUGCCCUAUGGGUUGUAAACUUCUUUUGUAUAGGGAUAAACCUACCCUCGUGAGGGUAGCUGAAGGUACUAUACGAAUAAGCACCGGCUAACUCCGUG
rnacentral:rRNA from 1 species